rnacentral:rRNA from 1 species
AGGGCCAGGUUUAUCCGCCCUGGGUUAGUCGGGUCCUAAGGCGAGGCCGACAGGCGUAGUCGAUGGAUGACCAGUUGAUAUUCUGGUACCGCCUAUCAACCGUCCAAUGCUGAAGUCACUGUGCUAACCGGUAGCUCCUGGUGCUUCCUUCGCCUUCGGGUGGGGGUUGUGUUGGGGGUCCCGGGAUCCUGGUGGUGUGUAGGCAAGCGUGUUAACAGGGGUGACGCAGAGAGGGAGCUGCCGCACACCGGUGGUUGUGUGUGUCCAAGGUUGUGGCCCGUCUUCCAGGCAAAUCCGGGAGGCAUGUGGGUGAGGACUGAUGGGGCUGGUCUUCGGGCUGGCUGGUGGUGUGCCUGUGCUGCCGAGAAAAGCCUCGACGCGAGGGUGGUAGGCGCCCGUACCCUAAACCGACUCAGGUGGUCAGGUAGAGUAUACCGAGGCGUUCGAGUGAAUCAUGGUUAAGGAACUCGGCAAAAUUCCCCCGUAACUUCGGGAUAAGGGGGACCCCGUACUGUUCGCACCUUUUGCGGGU